UUACUACUCCCUUCGUUCUAAAUUACUCGUCGUAGAAAUUAAUGUAUUUAGAACUAAAAUACAUCUAGAUACAUCCAUACCUGCGACAAGUAAUUCGGAACGAAGGGAGUACUAU
rfam:Triticum aestivum genome assembly, contig: Triticum_aestivum_CS42_TGACv1_scaffold_019081_1AS